rnacentral:rRNA from 1 species
CGCGUGAGGAACCUGCCUUUCAGAGGGGGACAACAGUUGGAAACGACUGCUAAUACCGCAUAAUACGCGGGUGUCGCAUGGCACCUGCGUCAAAGAUUUAUCGCUGAGAGAUGGCCUCGCGUCUGAUUAGCUAGUUGGUGAGGUAACGGCCCACCAAGGCGACGAUCAGUAGCCGGACUGAGAGGUUGGCCGGCCACAUUGGGACUGAGAUACGGCCCAGACUCCUACGGAAGGCAGCAG